UCACACAUUGAUUGCGCCUUGGCUCUUCAUUUCCAUCCUACAUAUAUUGCUGCAAAGUCUUGUCAUAUUUUUCGAAGCAGAUACCAUAUUGGAAGAUUUCUCAAUUGUUAUUCCAUUUUUAUUUGUUGCUGGUAUGUGGUAUCCUAUCUUCAAACAUUACAAAGCAAUUCGUUUUACCAAAUGCAAUAAACAACAACUCACUACUAGAUUUAGCCAUCUUCAACAAGACGCAACACCUGUUGAUGGUUAAAUUAAGGGACAAAAUGAGGAAUACAUUAACAUCAAAGAUCAGUACGAAUAAAAAACAAUUUGCAAAUAUGUGCUGAGUGCCCCAAGUUGGACACCAUUGAAUUAUACCUACUCACCUUAGGAUGGGGGUAUACUAAUCUAGUCAUUUCGUUUGUAACACCUUGAAAUAUUGAUCUAGCACCCCAUAAAGUAUAUAUAUUCUUGAU